UGGGAAAAUUGUGAGGAAAGUUAAUUGAUUUGUUGUUAUGGUGAGGAGGAUAUAGAGCAGCCUGUCCCUCCCCGACCACGACCAGAGAAGGAGCCGCAGUCAGUUAGUGAACAUGUCUUCUCGUGGAGGUGGGAAGAAGAAGCCGCUGAAGGCGCCCAAAAAGCAGGCUCAGGAGACAGACGAGGAUGACAAGGCUUUUGCGGAGAGGAGGAAAGAAGAGGCUAAACAACUAAAGGAGAUGCAGGCACGUGCAGCCAAGGGUGGCCCUCUGGCAACUGGUGGUAUCAAGAAGAGUGGGAAGAAGUAACAUCUACUUCAUGCACAUUUGAGAACUCGACCCCCUGCCAUUAUUUCAUUUUAACAUUUCAUCUGAGGCAUUUGUUUCACAAAAUAAAAAUAAGAAAAUA